AGAAGAUCACGGAUGAUUGGCUUAAUAAGAGACCUUCAGUAUACAGCUAUUGUUUUCAUUCCACGCUCGAUUAAAGUUUACAAUGAAGUACCAGCAAAGUUGUUAAAAGAUCAAGAAGGUAAUUUCUGUUCGAUCUGCAGAAAGAGCUCGUGUUGCAGCAAAAUAUUGUAAAUUAUACUUUAUUUUCCAUUAAAAAAAAGAUAAAAAUAUAUUUAAAAAAAAUAAAUGUUUUUUUUAAGCAUUUCUAAGAUUUGCGCUGUUUACCGCACCAUGUAAGUGAAUAUUGAUGAAGAUCAAAUUCAAACCAGGACUAUAUAAAAAAUUUAUAUUUAAAUAUUAAAGAAGAUUUUAAAAGACAUUAUAAAGAAAAUAUAUUAAAAGCAAAGAAAAGUGAUUAAAAGUUAUGGAAAUUAAAUUAAACGUAAACGAAAUUAGAAUUGAAGAAAAGUAGUUGAAUGUAAAUUAAAAGUAAAGGAAAGUAAACUGAAUAUAAAGGAAAGUAACUUAGAAUAAAUUGAGAAAUGUUUUGGAAAAGUUGUAAGGAGCUUUCUUAAAAACAAAAAACAAAAAAAACAUCUUUUUUUCUAAUAAUGAAUUGCUAGUAACAAUAAGUUUUCUAAUUUUUAGUCGCAUUUUUCCAUUUCAUUUUGUUCACGCCGCCAACUUUUUUACUUUAAAUUAAGUACAACUUCAUUUUUCUGUAUAUUUAUUUCUAAUUAGCAUCAGAAUCAUUACAUUUUCAAAGUGUAUAUAAAGUUUUCAGAGUGUAUAUCAAGAUAUAAAUGUUA